rnacentral:rRNA from 1 species
CAGUCGCCACGGUAAUACGAAGGGUGCAAGCGUUACUCGGAAUUACUGGGCGUAAAGCGUGCGUAGGUGGUGGUUUAAGUCCGUUGUGAAAGCCCUGGGCUCAACCUGGGAAUUGCAGUGGAUACUGGCUCGCUAGAGUGUGUCAGAGGAUGGUGGAAUUCCCGGUGUAGCGGUGAAAUGCGUAGAGAUCGGGAGGAACAUCAGUGGCGAAGGCGGCCAUCUGGGACAACACUGACGCUGAGGCACGAAAGCGUGGGGAGCAAACAGGAUUAGAUACCCCUGUAGUCCCUGUCUCUUAUAC